CCUACGGGCGGCAGCAGUGGGGAAUAUUGGACAAUGGGGGCAACCCUGAUCCAGCCAUGCCGCGUGUGUGAAGAAGGCCCUCGGGUUGUAAAGCACUUUCAGUGAGGAAGAACGCCUGGUGGUUAAUACCCAUCAGGAAAGACAUCACUCACAGAAGAAGCACCGGCUAACUCCGUGCCAGUAGCCGCGGUAAUACGGAGGGUGCGAGCGUUAAUCGGAAUUACUGGGCGUAAAGCGCGCGUAGGUGGCUUGAUAAGCCGGUUGUGAAAGCCCCGGGCUCAACCUGGGAACGGCAUCCGGAACUGUCAAGCUAGAGUGCAGGAGAGGAAGGUAGAAUUCCCGGUGUAGCGGUGAAAUGCGUAGAGAUCGGGAGGAAUACCAGUGGCGAAGGCGGCCUUCUGGACUGACACUGACACUGAGGUGCGAAAGCGUGGGUAGCAAACAGGAUUAGAUACCCUAGUAGUC
rnacentral:rRNA from 1 species